rnacentral:rRNA from 1 species
GAGUUUGAUCAUGGCUCAGAACAAACGCUGGCGGCAGGCUUCAUACAUGCAAGUCGCGCGAUUAAAGCAGCAAUGCAUAUAGAGCGGCGAACGGGUGAGUAACAGGUGGACAACCUACCCUCUGGCGGGGGACAACAGUUGGAAACGACUGCUAAUACCGCAUGUGAUUGCACCUCUUCGGUGGUGUAAGGAAAGGCGCGUUUGCGUCACCAGGGGAUGGGUCCGCCCCCCAUUAGCUUGUUGGUGUGAUAACAGCGCACCAAGGCUCCGAUGGGUAGCCGAGCUGAGAGGUUGAUCGGGCCACACUGGGACUGAGACACGGCCCAGACACCUACGGGUGGCAGCAGUAGGGAAUAUUGGACAAUGGGCGAAAGCCUGAUCCAGCCAUGCCGCGUGAGUGACGAAGGUCUUCGGAUUGUAAAACUCUUUUAUGAGGGAAGAACAUCCCGGGUAGGAAAUGACCGGGCCUGACGGUACCUCAGGAAUAAGGGACGGCUAACGUCCGUGCCAGCCGCC